rnacentral:ncRNA from 1 species
UAACCCCGACCGGGAGAGUUACGGUGCCGCCAGCAUCGCAACGCCGAAGGAGCAACCUCCCCGGAAUCUCUCAGGCCAACGGACCGGACGGGUGAG